UUAUUAUUAAUUAUUAUGAUUUUAUUAAAAUCUAUAAUUCAUCAAUUACAGAUGGAUUGCCAGAUAAGAUGUAGUCGAGCCACUUCCAAUAGGACACUUCAAAAUUCUUAUCUGGAUUUGGCAAGGAGAUGAUUGAACUGGGAAAUCAGUAAUGCCUUUAUAAUAUGAGAUCUACCUAUUGGAGUUAAAACUCGUCUUUCCCAAGUUCUAAUAAGUGCCUUUAACUUUACUCAAAAAUGUUUUCGUUAAUUUAGUUUAGGUAUACGAUGUAGAUUAACAUGAAACUCAAUUCCUAAAAGUGUAAAUAUUCCCCACUGUAGAUUCAAUUCAGGGUAGACAACUUCAACACUAUCUUUUUGCUUCUAAUCCAAAUAGCCUGGGUUUUAGAUACAUUUAUUUUAAAUCCAGAUAUAUUUGCAAAAGAUUUUAAUUCGUCAAUAGAUUCUUUAAGGGAUUCCUCUGUUCCAUCCAAGAUCAGUGAAGUGUCAUCCGCAUAUUGAGGCAGUAAAAUAGGAAAUUAUCAACAUAAAUACUUUUUAUCAUCAACAUCAUUAAUGUCUUCUAGUUCACAUAUAUUUUCUAUAAGAUUAAUUUUAUUCAAAUCCUGCUGCUUUUUUAUAUGACGAGUGGGAAAUGGUUAUUUCUUGAAUUUCUUUUAAGAGUGUUAUUUUAAAAAAAUUGAUUGCUUAUCGUAAAUUGUAUAUAAGAAUCGAGUAUAUUGUUGAUGUUUUCUUAAUGAACACUGGAAGACCAUAUUGUCUUUUAAUGUCGAAAAUAAGUUUAUUUAUAAGUUCUUAGUAAUCUAAAGCAUAUAAAACUUGAUAAUCAAACUUCCAUAAUCCUUUUCCUUUUUGAAUUCGUUAAACUUCAAAGCAAUUACAGGAAGUUAAUAAUCAGUUCUAUAGCCUGGUUCAAUAUUUGAAUAAUGAAAAAUUAAUUGUCCGAAAUAAGAAAAAAAUCUACCCGAGCUUGUUUAACAGGAUUACUACUCCUCCAGGCGUAUCUUCUAUUUUCUGGAUACUGUUCUCUAUAUAUAUCUACCAUUCCCAACUCUUCUAUAAGUUCAAUUAUUUUAUCCCUGGCUUUUGGGUUAUUUAUAUUUUUAUAGCUCUUAUCAUAGUCAAAUGUAGGGUUCAAAAUUAAGUUAAAAUCACCACAUAUUAUUUAAGAAUCAUUGCCAAAUAAAUUAAUAGUUUCAGUUAAGUUUUCAUAAAAAUCUGAAUUGUCUUAAUUAGGGCCAUAUAGUGUUAUUAAUGUUACUUUUCUACCUUCUAUCCUCAAACCAAGUGUUAGAAAAUUCCCAGUCAAGUCCUUUUUUCCGGCAAUACAUUUACUUCAAAAUUAUCAUUGAAUAAAAUUGCUACCCCCUGUGCAUUUGAUCUGAACAAAUUAGCAGUCAUAACCUCAUUCUGCUCUAACUAUAUUUUCAUGAGUGAAGUGUGUAUCAUGUAAACAGAGAAUAUUAAAGGUUUAUUUUUCAAGUAGAAAAAAAUAUCA